rnacentral:rRNA from 1 species
UUGAAAGGGAAACGAUUGAAGUCAGUCGUACCGACGGAGAAUCAACCUUUGGAGUGCGAGUCGAGGUAUUCGAGGAGUUUAAAAGCCCUUGUGUGCUUCCGUAUCGUGCUUCUUGGGUGCUUUUCUUCGUAUGGUAGGUUAACAUCAAUUUUGGACGUUACAAAAUGACUGGGGGAAUGUAGCUUCGAUUUUUCGAAGUGUUAUAGCCCUUUGUAGAUGUGACGACCGGGAUUGAGGAUUGCAACGAAUGCUUUCGGGCUAUCCGUCUGACCUCUGGUGGUUGCUUUGGGGUCGAAAGCGUGCUUACGGCUUUAAAGUUGGCUAUCAAAAGGCUAGAACGUGAUUAAAUUCGUUAAGGAUGUUGACGUA